rnacentral:rRNA from 1 species
GACGAACGCUGGCGGCGUGCUUAACACAUGCAAGUCGAGCGGAAAGGCCCUUUCGGGGGUACUCGAGCGGCGAACGGGUGAGUAACACGUGAGUAAUCUGCCCUUGGCUUUGGGAUAACCACCGGAAACGGUGGCUAAUACCGGAUAUGACGCGCCCCGGCAUCGGGGUGUGUGGAAAGUUUUUUCGGCCAGGGAUGUGCUCGCGGCCUAUCAGCUUGUUGGUGGGGUAAUGGCCCACCAAGGCUUCGACGGGUAGCCGGCCUGGGAGGGUGACCGGCCACACUGGGACUGAGACACGGCCCAGACUCCUACGGGAGGCAGCAGUGGGGAAUAUUGGACAAUGGGCGGAAGCCUGAUCCAGCAACGCCGCGUGAGGGAUGACGGCCUUCGGGUUGUAAACCUCUUUCAGUACCGACGAAGCGCCGAUGAUGGUGGUGACGGUAGGUACAGAAGAAGCACCGGCCAACUACGUGCCAGCAGCCGCCGUAA